rnacentral:rRNA from 1 species
AUGAACGCUGGCGGCAGGCCUAACACAUGCAAGUCGAACGGAGUUAUAUUGUAGCUUGCUAUGGUAUAACUUAGUGGCAGACGGGUGAGUAAUGUAUAGGAAUCUACCUAGUAGUACGGAAUAAUUGUUGGAAACGGCAACUAAUACCGUAUACGCCCUACGGGGGAAAAAUUUAUUGCUAUUAGAUGAGCCUAUAUUAGAUUAGCUAGUUGGUGGAGUAAUAGCCUACCAAGGCAAUGAUCUAUAGCUGAUCUGAGAGGAUGAUCAGCCACACUGGAACUGAGAUACGGUCCAGACUCCUACGGGAGGCAGCAGUGGGGAAUAUUGGACAAUGGGCGAAAGCCUGAUCCAGCCAUGCCGCAUGAGUGAAGAAGGCCUUUGGGUUGUAAAGCUCUUUUAGUGAGGAAGAUAAUGACGGUACUCACAGAAGAAGUCCUGGCUAACUCCGUGCCAGCAGCCGCGGUAAUACGGAGAGGGCUAGCGUUAUUCGGAAUUAUUGGGCGUAAAGGGCGCGUAGGCGGAUUAGUAAGUUAAAAGUGAAAUCCCAAGGCUCAACCUUGGAAUUGCUUUUAAAACUGCUAAUCUAGAGAUUGAGAGAGA